rnacentral:rRNA from 1 species
GGCCUAACACAUGCAAGUCGGACGGGAUUUUGGAGCUUGCUCUAAAUGAGAGUGGCGCACGGGUGCGUAACACGUAUGUAACCUACCUUUGUCAGGGGGAUAGCCUCUCGAAAGAGAGAUUAAGACCGCAUAACAUUAUUGAAUGGCAUCAUUUAAUAAUCAAAUAUUUAUAGGACAAAGAUGGGCAUGCGGAACAUUAGCUAGUUGGUAAGGUAACGGCUUACCAAGGCUACGAUGUUUAGGGGAUCUGAGAGGAUGGCCCCCCACACUGGUACUGAGACACGGACCAGACUCCUACGGGAGGCAGCAGUAAGGAAUAUUGGUCAAUGGGCGGAAGCCUGAACCAGCCAUGCCGCGUGCAGGAAGACGGCCCUACGGGUUGUAAACUGCUUUUGUACGGGAAUAAACCUUGAUACGUGUAUCAAGCUGAAUGUACUGUAAGAAUAAGGAUCGGCUAACUCCGUGCCAGCAGCCGCGGUAAUACGGAGGAUCCAAGCGUUAUCCGGAUUUAUUGGGUUUAAAGGGUGCGUAGGUGGCCUGUUAAGUCAGGGGUGAAAGACGGUAGCUCAACUAUCGCAGUGCCCUUGAUACUGACGGGCUUGAAUGGACUAGAGGUAGGCGGAAUGUGACAAGUAGCGGUGAAAUGCAUAGAUAUGUCACAGAACACCGAUUGCGAAGGCAGCUUACUAUGGUCCGAUUGACACUGAGGCGCGAAAGCGUGGGGAUCAAACAGGAUUAGAUACCCUGGUAGUCCACGCCCUAAACGAUGAAUACUCGAUGUUGGCGAUAUACGGUCAGCGUCUAAGCGAAAGCGUUAAGUAUUCCACCUGGGGAGUA